rnacentral:rRNA from 1 species
GAUGAACGCUAGCUACAGGCUUAACACAUGCAAGUCGAGGGGAAACGACAUCGAAAGCUUGCUUUUGGUGGGCGUCGACCGGCGCACGGGUGAGUAACGCGUAUCCAACCUGCCCACCACUUGGGGAUAACCUUGCGAAAGUAAGACUAAUACCCAAUGAUAUCCCACGAAGGCAUCCGAAUGGGAUUAAAGAUUUAUCGGUGAUGGAUGGGGAUGCGUCUGAUUAGCUUGUUGGCGGGGUAACGGCCCACCAAGGCAACGAUCAGUAGGGGUUCUGAGAGGAAGGUCCCCCACAUUGGAACUGAGACACGGUCCAAACUCCUACGGGAGGCAGCAGUGAGGAAUAUUGGUCAAUGGACGGAAGUCUGAACCAGCCAAAGUAGCGUGCAGGACGACGGCCCUAUGGGUUGUAAACUGCUUUUAUAAGGGAAUAAAGUGAGCCUCGUGAGGCUUUUUGCAUGUACCUUAUGAAUAAGGACCGGCUAAUUCCGUG